rnacentral:tRNA from 1 species
GGGCUAUUAGCUCAGUGGUAGAGCGCGCCCCUGAUAAUUGCGUCGUUGGGCGAGGUCUCUGGUUCAAGUCCAGGAUGGCCCA